AGAGUUUGAUCCUGGCUCAGGAUGAACGCUAGCGACAGGCCUAACACAUGCAAGUCGAGGGGCAUCGGGGCGAGGAGCAAUCCUUGCCGCCGGCGACCGGCGCACGGGUGAGUAACGCGUAUGCGACCUGCCCGUUGCAGGGGGAUAAUCGGGAGAAAUCCCGUCUAAUACCGCGUAAUGCCGCGGGGCUGCAUGGCCCUGCGGCCAAAGGAAGCGAUUCCGGCAACGGAUGGGCAUGCGUGACAUUAGCUAGUUGGCGGGGCAACGGCCCACCAAGGCGACGAUGUCUAGGGGUUCUGAGAGGAAGGUCCCCCACACUGGUACUGAGACACGGACCAGACUCCUACGGGAGGCAGCAGUGAGGAAUAUUGGUCAAUGGGCGCGAGCCUGAACCAGCCAAGUCGCGUGAGGGAUGACGGCCCUACGGGUUGUAAACCUCUUUUGUCGGGGAGCAAAUUCCGCCACGCGUGGCGGGG
rnacentral:rRNA from 1 species